rnacentral:rRNA from 1 species
AGUAACGCGUAUCCAACCUUCCCAUGACCAGGGAAUAACCUUGCGAAAGUAAGACUAAUGCCCUAUGGUUUCCUCAGCGGACAUCCAAAGAGGAAUAAAGAUUUAUCGGUGAUGGAUGGGGGAUGCGUCUGAUUAGCUUGUUGGCGGGGUAACGGCCCACCUAGCCUUCGAUCGGUAGGGGUUCUGAGAGGAAGGUCCCCCCACAUUGGAACUGAGACACGGUCCAAACUCCUACGGGAGGCAGCAGUGAGGAAUAUUGGUCAAUGGGCGCAAGCCUGAACCAGCCAAGUAGCGUGAAGGAUGACUGCCCUAUGGGUUGUAAACUUCUUUUAUGCGGGAAUAACCCUCGACCAUGUAUGGUCGUUUGCAUGUACCGCAAGAAAAAGCAUCGGCUAAUUCCGUG